rnacentral:rRNA from 1 species
UACGAAGGGGGCUAGCGUUGCUCGGAAUCACUGGGCGUAAAGGGUGCGUAGGCGGGUUUUAAGUCAGGGGUGAAAUCCUGGAGCUCAACUCCAGAACUGCCUUUGAUACUGAAGAUCUUGAGUCGGGAGAGGUGAGUGGAACUGCGAGUGUAGAGGUGAAAUUCGUAGAUAUUCGCAAGAACACCAGUGGCGAAGGCGGCUCACUGGCCCGAUACUGACGCUGAGGCACGAAA